CAUAUAUGCAGUCGAGCGGAUCUUUGGGAGCUUGCUCCCAAAGGUUAGCGGCGGACGGGUGAGUAACACGUGGGCAACCUGCCUGUAAGACUGGGAUAACUUCGGGAAACCGGAGCUAAUACCGGAUAACAUAAGAGACCACAUGGUCUCCUAUUAAAAGAUGGCCUCGGCUAUCACUUACAGAUGGGCCCCGCGGCGCAUUAGCUAGUUGGUGAGGUAACGGCUCACCAAGGCGACGAUGCGUAGCCGACCUGAGAGGGUGAUCGGCCACACUGGGACUGAGACACGGCCCCAGACUCCUACGGGAGGCAGCAGUAGGGAAUCUUCCGCAAUGGACGAAAGUCUGACGGAGCAACGCCGCGUGAGCGAAGAAGGCCUUCGGGUCGUAAAGCUCUGUUGUUAGGGAAGAACAAGUAUCGUUCGAAUAGGGCGGUACCUUGACGGUACCUAACCAGAAAGCCACGGCUAACUACGUGCCAGCAGCCGCGGUAAUACGUAGGUGGCAAGCGUUAUCCGGAAUUAUUGGGCGUAAAGCGCGCGCAGGCGGUCCUUUAAGUCUGAUGUGAAAGCCCACGGCUCAACCGUGGAGGGUCAUUGGAAACUGGGGGACUUGAGUGCAGAAGAGGAGAGCGGAAUUCCACGUGUAGCGGUGAAAUGCGUAGAGAUGUGGAGGAACACCAGUGGCGAAGGCGGCUCUCUGGUCUGUAACUGACGCUGAGGCGCGAAAGCGUGGGGAGCGAACAGGAUUAGAUACCCUGGUAGUCCACGCCGUAAACGAUGAGUGCUAAGUGUUAGAGGGUUUCCGCCCUUUAGUGCUGCAGCAAACGCAUUAAGCACUCCGCCUGGGGGGAGUACGGUCGCAAGACUGAAACUCAAAGGAAUUGACGGGGGCCCGCACACAGCGGUGGGAGCAUGUGGUUUAAUUUGAAGCAACGCGAAGAACCUUAACCAGGUCUUGACAUCCCGUGACAACUCUGGAGACAGAGCGUUCCCCUUCGGGGGGACACGGAUGACAGGUGGAUUGCAAUUGGUGUCGUCAGCUC
rnacentral:rRNA from 1 species